ACAGUACAUGAUUUGUUAUAUACUAAGACACUUUAGAAAUUAAAUUUUAAAUUUUGUCUCCCUCUUCGAGGCAAUAUGAACCCUUACUGUUGAAAUAUUGUAGCUCAAAUAUGAACUAAAUGAACCUUUCCAUCGCUUUCCUUUAGCGAAUGCGUUCCAUUAUGCAUAUGAUUCUUUCAUGGUUUAGAAAUUAUUUGUUUCACGCCAAAAAAACGUUUUAGUAACCACCUUAGUUUUGUUUCUAUAAACUAUUAUAAUUGAUUUUAAGACUUAUUAUUUUAUUUCAAAGAAAAAAUAAAUUUUUGCAAUAAUUUCAUUUAUCAUUUGAGUAUUUGAUCUAUGCAGAACAAAACUUUAAGAUGGCGGUUAUACCACUUUAAUGAGAUAUCCGCAUACUCUCUUUAAGAAAUUUACUAGAUUACUAUAACACAGAGAAGGGAGCCAAGAAAUGGCCACUCAAAGACAGCUGAAUUAAUUUGAUACCAUUGAUUUUCUUUCGUUUGGCAAUUUGCUGUGUACAGGGCCUGCCCGUCCAUAUAGGCAGUUGCCAAAAGAACAAAAAUUUUAAAGCGGCAUUUUGACUAAUUUUAUUUAUAUGUUUUAUUUUUUCUUAGCUAAAUAUAAAAUAGUUGUAAAAAUUUCUUUAUUUAUUUCAUUUGUUAUAAUAUUCAAAGGUUAUAUUUUUGAAAUUCUAAGACAAAUUAUAAACAAAACAGAAGUAUUAUUAUUUUUUUAGCAGGUGUAAGCCUAUGUUGCUAUACGCUGAUUGCGAGUAAUCAGUUGAUUUACAAGUAGCUAGAGGGGAGCACAGUUUCUUCAAUUCAAUUGAGUGGAGUUUAAUUCCGUCUUUAACAAAAUGACCUUAGUAAUUUCCAAGAUAUAAAUUUUGUUUUUAAGACAAAAAAAAACUUAGAAGGGCGCAGAAUUUGGCAUUUACCUAGGGCAGCAAAUUGUCUCGUAUCGGCCCUGACUAUAUAUGCAGUUUUAAUUAUAUUGAAAUGUUCCUACAAAUGACGAAAUUUAGAUGACUUUUUCGGCAUUACAUUUAACGUAGUGAAUACCGCACAUUAGACAAAACUCUUGCAUUCAAUUUUACGCAAACUUUGUUUUUUGAAUGAGUAUCACAUGGACCUAAGUUCAACGCAUUUCUGACUGCUAACUACUGGUACUUUGUGUUAUUAUUGUUUAUUCUCUUUUAAAUGGUAUACACAAGAACAUUAGGAAAGUAGGUAGGGAAUUAACAAACGAUGCGGAAACUGCAAUUAAUGUUUGACGAAGAAUAUAAAAGAAAAUACGCCAGAAUAACCUGGAGAGCUAUAAACUCACAAUGGUGCUAACCGUUUAUCUUUAUUAGCGUAGCGAUAAUUAGCGUUGAUAACAGCGAAUGCAUUUCGUACUAAAACAAGAAGAUUUAUGCAAAAACAAGUCUAUAUGUGUGAGUGAAUCUGUAAUUGUCUACUUGUGUUUAUGUCAAAAAGAUAUGCACAAAUAUUCAUCUAUCUCCCUUGAUAUCUGUAAAAUAUACUCAUGAAAGCAUAUACAUUAGGACGGCCCUCGUAUGAGAAGUUCAUUCUUUUUUUGCAAAAGUCCCUUGAAGUUGCAGUUUUUGCAAAAAGCUCUUUAUUAUACCCUGAACAGGAUAUAUUCAGUUUGCCACCAAGUUUGUAACACCCAGAAGGAAACGUCGGUGAUCCUAUAAAAUUUAAAUAAUCAGCAAGACAAGCAGAGUCAGUCUGAAAAUAUGCAAACUAGUCCCUCAGUUUAAAAGAUUUCGAUCUGAAAUGUUGCACACAUCUUAAUCCCUAAGAAGCUGCUCAUUUAUCAGAACCGCCGAUAUCGGACCAAUAGAGAUCUCUCGGGGAUCUAAAUAUUCGGCACCUAGAGGCUUGAAGAGUUUUUGUUGAAUUUGGGCAAUUUUUGGACGUAAGAUAGCACACACUAAAGACAUUAUUCGCGCAAACUUUUAUCCGGUUAUAUUGAUUGCUUCUUAAUUUGUGAACUAAUCAAGUGGAAUUAAAAAAUGUGCUAUAUGUGAGUUAGACCUGGUUGUUGUCCGAUUUCAUUCAUUUUCACAAUAUCACAGAAGAAUAUAAGAAGAAUGUCACAUACUAAAUUUUGUCGAAUUGGGUCUGUCGGGUCCCAAGAUGUGAGAUUUCUCCAAAGAGUGGGCUGUGCCACGUGCACCAUUUAAUUUUCACAUCAACUCCUAGAAAGAUCUCUCAUACCAUUUCGGUGGUAAAAUUUAAUAUCUCUGGAGUAUUUAGUUAUUGAUUUAUCGCGCUUUUAGAAGUUUUUACUGUACCGUUAUAUGGGGAGUGAGCGGGGUUAUCCUUCGAUUUCAUAACAUUUUCACUGUCGGUAGAAGUUCUUAUAAUAUUUGUAUUCAGUGAAGUUGGUUAUUAUAGCUUAAUCUUUAGGGGUAAUCUUUUUUCCAUUUUUUUUUGUUUUUGCAUUUUCUGUUCCCUUAUAACCCUUACAACUAAUGUAGAAACCCACUUUACCAUUGGAAGGUUUGGAAAAAGGUCCAAAAAAUAAUAGUAGCGCUUGAUAAUACACUCCACGAUAUACGUGAUAUGUGAAAAAAGUUCUAUUGUAGAAUAAAAAUAUCAAUGAAAAAUAAUGUCAGAUUACCCUACUGACCCCUUAAUUUAUAUCUUCCGAUUAUCCCCAUCUACGAACUCGAAUUUUGAAGAAGAACACUAAUUUUCGUAUGCAUGCAAACGUUCAUCAGAUAUUUUUAAUAUCAAAACAAAAAAUGGCAUUGAUAUUUUCGUCGUCAAGGCAUUGCGUCUACUUUGCUAGAUUUUGGGAGAAGGACGCAAAUGCGUCACCUUACACAAAAAAAUAGCAGAAUAACUGCAAUAUUGAUAAAAGCGUCAAUUAUGACUUCAGAUAUACAGGAAUAUUUUCGAAGCAUUCCACAGAGCAAUAUUUAAAGGGAAACGAUGAAGAAUGUGCGUACAAUUUAAAAGUGUUCCUUCCUCAAAAAUAAUACAAUUGCUAAAUAUUGGGAAUGGUAGAUUAGAACUGCAACCAAAUACGAAGUGCAAUGGAUCAUAACUGGCUCAGUAAUCAGUGGAUGAAUAUUAAGCCACGUGCAUGCCAAAAAACUGAUACCAUAACAUUGCCAGCCGACUUUUCCUUUUUUCCAUGCUUGAGGACCGGUUCAUCAUGUGCAGUCCAAUAGGCUGGUUGUCGAUUGGACUCCAGUGUGAAAUGAUGGAGCCAUAUUUCUAUUGUCACACACCGACGCAAAAAUUCGAUUUAAUUAAGAUUAAAGAGCACUCAAACUCUCCUCAGAAUCAGCAUUCGUUGUUUUUUUGGAUUAUGAAUUUGCGCGGCACUCACUUUGCACAGAGCUUUCGCCUCUUUAGGGUGUCCUCUGCCUUCAUUGUCAUCUCUUUUCAAAGGUUGAUUUUCCUGGUGCAGAGCCCAAAUUCAACAGUACUCGUAUUGCAAAAAGCAAUGCUUUAUUAAAACACAAAAUGCUUUUUGAUCAAUUUUUUUGUAAACUAACCCAAAAUGUUAUAUCUCAUUAACUAAUAGUUCCUCAGUUGUCAAAUUUUUAUCUAUACGUUGUCACUAAGGAAUUCACUAAUUGGAGCUACAUAUAGUUACCGACGUGCCUCCCUUCCAUAGUUACAACGUAAUUGUUGUUGUUCUCAUUUGGGCAAUGUUUCUGUUUCAAUGUAAAUGGAAACUCACCACCGCUUUUAUCAUCCGUGACGUAGAUAUUUGCGCAAAUUGAAUUUUUUUCGUAGAAAUCAGUUAGCUCUCUUAGAUUGCUCUCUUAAACUCAGGGUUGCCAGUUUAGAUAUUUUGUAGUAAUUAAAAAAUAAACUUGAAUAUAUUUGAAAUUUUAUAAAACUAACUCAAAAUUAUAGUCAUACCGACUAUUUGUAAUAAUUGGAAUUUGAAUAAUUAUAACAAAUGUGAUCAAAAGAGUUCAUCAACAACUACGUUGUCACUAAGGAAGGGUGGCACGUCGGUGACUAAUGGUAGCAUAAUUCUCCGAAUUGAUCAAGGCCCUGAAGUAACGAGGUUUUCAAUAAAGCCGCUACAAAAGUUUUAUCAGAUAAAACACAAAUGGUUUGGGAUAUCAAUACUUUUUUCCUGUGAAAGUAUAUUCGAUGCCUUUAUGUAUGGAACUUGAUUUCUUUUGCAUGGCCAUCAUGGGCACGCUUGCAGAAGUCCAGACGCUGAACCCAAUUUUCGACAGUUUUCAACCAUAAAUCGGACGUUUGUGCUGCAAUUUCACGUUUGAUAUUUUUACGAAUUUCAUCAAGCGUGUCUAACGGUGUUAAAUCGCACGACCGAGACGGUCAAUUGAGUGGGCCACUUCGUGAGAUAACACGUUCACCAAACUUGGUUUUCAAUAAAUCGAUCUUGAUAUUCGUUGUGUGGCUGGUGGCGUCCUGUUGAAAACACAUAUUGCGAAGUCCAUAUCAUCCAAUUCUGGCAAAAAAUAAUCAGUUAUCAUUAACGAUAGCGACUCCCAUUCACAGUAACGUACCGGUCUUGAUCAUCAUGGAAGUAGUACGGCCCAAUAACGCCACUGGUAACUCAUGGAGUACCAAUAACACAUAUUUUGCUUAUUGCCAUUCAGCCUGAAAUGAGCUUCAUAGCUGAUGAUGAUUUUUCUAUGAAAAUCCGGAUCAUCUUCGAAUUGUUGCAAAGCCAAAUUAACGAACAUACGACGAUUCUGAUAGUCAAGCGGCUUCAGUUCUUGCGUCAAUUUGAUUAUGUAGGGAUGUAGGCCAAGAUCUUUUUGUAAAAUUCACCACAACGACGUAACAUAAAUACCCAACGCUUGAGAACGACGUGUGUGAGACUGAUUUGUGUCUUUCUGCGCUGGCGCCAGCAAUAUUCUCGACAUUAGGGACACUUCUUUGCCUCACUGUCACGAAAACAUUUUGUACUGUGCCUGUGGAUUAAAAUUUUUCCACUAGACGCUCAAUUGCUGAUAUGACGACCAUUGGCUUACGUGGCGCUCUUAAAGUUGAGGCCACUGACUCCAAAUUUCAGUAGUAAAUUUUUAUAAUUUCGACUCGCUGUAGGAACGUAUAUCAUUCCAUGAUAAAAUGGCAAUCCUUACUGAAGAGAAAUGUCAAAAGAGCGUGAAAAAUAUGGUGUCGUUUGCUGUCCUUAUCAGUCUACUUUUGUAUCAUCUGUAUUGAAAUCGCCGUUACAUUUACCAUUUAUGAAGAUAACACACUGACCGAAAUAUUUGACAAAAAGUCUGGAAAAAUAAAUAAAAUAAUUUUAAAUAUAAUUUUAAAUAGUCCAAACCAUAUACUAAUUAUAGUUCGUGGAUGACUUGUAUAUAUUGCGUUUACUACGGAAAUUUACUUAUUUACCGAUUUAUACGCUAUAAGUUUAACCGGAAAUUUUAAAUUCGUAUAUUAGACGUAGGGGGGCUAAGUGUAAAUGUUGACCUAUUCCAUCCAUAUUAGGUACAAUAAGAAGAUAGUGACACUCUUUGAAUUUCUUUACGAUAUCUCACAGGUUCAGGGUAUAAAGUCCGGAAAAUGUAAGUAUUGACCAGAUUUUGUCCUGUUUGGACUCAACGAGGCACCAUUGCAAAGGAAAGUUUCUCUUUGAAGUUCAAUAAUAUUCUAUAAGUUUUACCAAUAUUUUCGGAAAAAAAUCAAUUUCCUUAACUGAGAACUUCAAAAUCUAUAGUCCGAUUUCCAUUAUCAUUGGACAUGAGUAUUUCGAAGACAAUAUUUGUGCAAGGUUUUAUUCGAACAACUUCAUUAGAGCUUGAUUUCCAUUCAGUAAAGUGAAAUAAUGAUAAUGAAAUUUUGAAUUUUGAUUUAUGGGAAGUAGGCAUGGUUGUUGGUAGGUACUCUUGUACAAGACAACGCCAUCUAAAAAUUAAAAUAUUUUUGCGAAAUUUGGUACGCCUGUUCUUUGGCAACACUUCUUCAGCCAAUCCUUCUAAAUAGUUGUUGGCAUUCACAAGCCAGUGAAAGCAUAACGCCACGAGAAGGCGAACCCGAUUCCCCAAUCGAUAACGAUAGAGCAGACGUUCCACUGCCCGACCCUGAAGAAGUUCGAAUAGCAAUUAUCCGUCUGAAGAACAACAAAGCGGCGGGGCCUAUGGAUUUCCGGCCAAGCUAUUCAAACACGGCGGCGAAGAACUGAUAAUGAGUAUGCAUCAGCUUUUUUUGGUCGGAUAAAAGCAUGCCCAACGAUUGCAAUUUAAGUGUGCUCUGCCAAAUCCACAAAAAGGGAGACCCCACAAUCUGCGACAACUACCGUAGGAUAAGUCUCCUAAGCAUCGCAUAUAAGGUUCUAUCGAGUGUAUUGUGUGAAAGAUUAAACCCCACCGUCAAACAACUGAUUGAGUCUUAUCAGUGUGGCUUUAGGCCUGGAAAAUCAAUAACCGACCAGAUAUUCACCAUGUGCCAAAUCUUGAAAAAGACCUGUGAAAAGAAAAUCGACAAACACCAUCUCUUCGUAGGUUUCAAAACUGCCUUUGACGAAAACGAGCUGCCUUUAUGCCGCGAUGUCUGUGGUGUACGGCUUUGUAAGAUGACGUUGAGCAAUACCAAAAACUUCAUCAGGAUCGGGAAGGACCUCUCCGUGCCGUUAGAUACCAAACGAGAUUUCAGACAAGGCGACUCCUUAUCGUGCGACUUCUUCAGUCUGCUGCUGGAGAAAAUAAUUCGAGCUGUAGAACUUAAUCGAGCUCUAUAAGAGUGUACAGCUGCUAGUGUAUGCCGAUGAUAUUGAUAUCAAUGGCCUUAAUAAUCGCGCCGUUAGUUCUGCUUUCUCCAGAACAAAUAAGGAAGCAAUGCAAAUGGGUCUGGCAGGCGUAACCAAGGGCCCUGAGGCAAAUUAAAAAAUGGGGCCCUACUGCUAUGUAAACUGAUUAAGUUUUAUCAAAUAAAAAUAUGAUAUAUAGAAAUACUUUAAAAAUGCUAAGCUAUUUUGUAUGCACUCCAGGGCAGGUAAUAAAAAUAUUAAACAGUAACAACAUAAAUUACAACUAAUACUUGGUUCGGCUAAUAAAACGAAGAUUCAAGGACUUAUUAAAUAAAAGGCCUACAGACUGACUAAAUUACAAUUACAUUUACAAUUUUUUCAUAGCUUUAGUUUUCGCAAAAGUAUCAAUGACUUCAUUUUAAUCAUUAUAAUCCAAAUGUCAGAGUCGAGUUUGGCCCACAUUAAUUGUUAAAUAUUGUUAUUUUUAAUUUGAGAAUUUCGUCUAUCUUGGAACUAUAAACAACAAUGUCAGCCUCGAAAUCCAACGCAGGAUAACUCUUGCCAACAGCUGUUACUUUGGACUGAGUAUGCUAUACAGAAUUAAAGUCCUCUCUCGACGAACAAAAACCAAACUCUAUGAUCCUUCAUUAUUCCCGUCCUGAUAGGCAUGGACGAUGACAACAUCCGAUUAGUCGACGUUAAGAGUUUACAAGGAGCUGGAGUGCAAGUGAAAAUCUUUCACAGAACCAAUGAGGUUUACAUAUACCUAGUUCUAUUAAAUUACGACAUGUUUAUUAGUUAUAAAAUAUAUAAAUAUUUAUUUUUUUCUAUCUAUUUCAAAAGUUGUAUAUUUAACAUUAAAUAUCUUCUUCUUCUUCUUUACUGGCGUAGACACCGCUUACGCGAUUAUAGCCGAGUCAACAACAGCGCGCCAGUAGUUUCUUCUCUUCGCUACGUGGCUUCAAUUGGAUAUUCCAAGCGAGGCCAGGUCCUUCUCCACUUGGUCCUUCCACCGGAGUGGAGGUCUUCCUCUUUCUUUGCUUCCCGCGGCGGGUACUGCGUCGAAUACUUUCAGAGCUGGAGUGUUUUCAUCCAUCCGGACAACAUGACCUAGCCAGCGUAGCCGCUGUCUUUUAAUUCGCUGAACUAUGUCAAUGUCGUCGUAUAUCUCGUACAGCUCAUCGUUCCAUCGAAUGCGAUAUUCGCCGUGGCCAACGCGCAAAGGACCAUAAAUCUUUCGCAGAACUUUUCUCUCGAAAACUCGCAACGUUGACUCAUCGGUUGUUGUCAUCGUCCAAGCCUCUGCACCAUAUAGCAGGACGGGGAUUAUGAGCGACUUAUAGAGUUUGGUUUUUGUUCGUCGAGAGAGGACUUUACUUUUCAAUUGCCUACUCAGUCCGAAGUAGCACCUGUUGGCAAGAGUGAUCCUGCGUUGGAUUUCUAGGCUGACAUUGUUGGUGGUGUUUACGCUGGUGCCAAGAUAGAUGAAAUUAUCUACAACUUCAAAGUUAUGACUGUCAACAGUGACGUGAGUGCCAAGUCGCGAGUGCGACGACUGUUUGUUUGAUGACAGGAGAUAUUUCGUCUUGCCCUCGUUCACUGCCAGACCCACUUGCGUUGCUUCCUUGUUCAGUCUGGAGAAAGCAGAACUAACGGCGCGGGUGUUGAGGCCGAUGGUAUCAAUAUCAUCGGCAUACGCCAGCAGCUGUACACUCUUAUAAAAGAUUGUACCUGCUCGAUUCAGUUCUGCAGCUCUAAUAAUUUUCUCCAGCAGCAGCUUGAAAAAGUCGCACGAUAGGGAGUCGCCUUGUCUGAAACCUUGUUUGGUAUCGAACGGCUCGGAGAGGUCCUUCCCGAUCCUGACGGAGCUUUUCGUGUCGCUCAACGUCAGUUUACACAGCCGUAUUAGUUUUGCGGGGAUACCAAAUUCAGACAUCGCGGCAUAAAGGCAGCUCCUUUUCGUGCUGUCGAAAGCAGCAUUGAAAUCGACGAAUAGGUGGUGAGUGUCGAUUCUCCUUUCACGGGUCUUUUCCAAGAUUUGGCGCAUAGUGAAUAUCUGGUCGGUUGUUGAUUUGCCAGGUCUAAAGCCACACUGACAAGGUCCGAUCAGUUCGUUGACGGUGGGCUUUAAUCUUUCACACAAUACGCUCGAUAGAACCUUGUACGCGAUGUUGAGGAGGCUUAUCCCACGGUAGUUGGCGCAGAUUGUGGGGUCUCCUUUUUUAUGGAUUGGGCACAGCACACUUAAAUUCCAAUCGUUGGGCAUGCUUUCAUCCGACCAUAUUUUGCAAAGAAGCUGAUGCAUGCUCCUUAUCAGUUCUUUGCCGCCGUGUUUGAAUAGCUCGGCCGGCAAUCCGUCGGCCCCUGCCGAUUUGUUGUUCUUCAGGCGGGCAGCUGCUAUUCGAACUUCUUCAUGGCCGGGUAAUGGAACGUCUGCUCUAUCGUCAUCGAUUGGGGAAUCGGGUUCGCCUUCUCCUGGUGUUAUGUGUUCACUGCCAUUCAGCAGGCUGGAGAAGUAUUCCCUCCAUAGUCUAAGUAUGCUCUGGGCAUCGGUGACUAGAUCACCUUGGGGGGUUCUACAGGAGUAUGCUCCGGUCUUGAAACCUUCUGUAAGCCGCCCCAUUUUGUUGGAGAAUUUUCGAGCAUUACCCCUGUCGGCCAGCUUAUCAAGCUGUUCGUACUCACGCAUUUCGGCCUCUUUCUUCUUCUGUCUGCAAAUGCGUCUCGCUUCCCUCUUCAUAUCUCGGUAUCUAUCCCAUCCCGCACGUGUUGUGGUCGAUCGUAACGUUGCGAGGUAGGCAGCCUGUUUUCUCUCCGCUGCGACACGGCACUCCUCGUCGUACCAGCUGUUCUUUUGCACUUUCCGAAAACCAAUGGUUUCGGUUGCAGCUGUACGUAAGGAGUUUGAAAUGCCGUCCCACAGUUCUCUUAUACCGAGUUGUUGACGAGAGCUCUCAGAGAGCAGGAGUGCAAGCCGAGUGGAAAAUCCUUCAGCUGUCUGUUGUGAUUGCAGCUUCUCGACGUCGAACCUUCCUUGUGUUUGUUGGCGUGCUUUUUUUGCUGCACAGAGGCGAGUGCGAAUUUUGGCUGCAACAAUAUAGUGGUCCGAGUCGAUGUUAGGACCUCGGAGCGCACGCACAUCUAAAACACUGGAGACGUGUCUUCCAUCUAUCACAACAUGAUCGAUCUGGUUGGUGGUUUUUCGAUCCGGAGACAGCCAGGUAGCUUGAUGUAUCUUCUUAUCUAGUACUACAGAUAACCAUAUUUCGGGCUCCGGCGAAGUCGAUCAGCCUCAACCUAUUUGGGGAUGUUUCCUCGUGGAGGCUGAAUUUACCGACCGUAGUGCCAAAGAUACCUUCUUUGCCCACCCUGGCGUUGAAGUCGCCAAGCACGAUUUUGACAUCGUGGCGGGGGCAUCUCUCAUAAGUGCGCUCCAAGCACUCAUAAAAGGCAUCUUUGGUCACAUCGUCCUUCUCUUCCGUCGGGGCGUGGGCGCAAAUCAGCGAUAUGUUGAAGAACCUCGCUUUGAUGCGGAUUGUGGCUAGACGUUCAUUCUCCGGAGUGAAUGAUAGUACUCGGCGACGGAGUCUCUCUCCCACCACGAAUCCAACACCAAACUUGCGCUCCUUAUAUGGCCACUGUAGUAAAUGCCACAAGGACCUACUCGUCUCUGUCCUUGUCCCGUCCAUCGCAUUUCUUGGACGGCGGUGAUGUCAGCCUUUAUUUUCACGAGGGCAUCAACCAGCUGGGCAGCGGCACCUUCCCAAUUAAGGGACCGGACAUUCCAGGUGCUUGCCCUCAAAUCAUAGUCCUUAAUUCGUUUGCCAUGGUCGUCAUCAAAAGGGGGGUCACUCAUCCGAGGCUUGUUGUUUCCUUUCAUUGGGGGUGUUUUUUACGUGGCGGGUCCCAAGCCCAGCGCACAACCCUAAGUAGGGAAUGUUUCGCCUUCUCACUUUAGCUCGCCUUCAAACGGAUGUUCUUAGGCUACCCAGAGGAUACUUGGUCAAAGACCGGAAGUCGGGAGCUGCUUGAGUCAUAUGUAAAAGAAUCGUUUCUGGCCUCUCCCCAGUGAAUGACGAUCAGAGAACUUUCCUCACUUGCGUGAACUUCUGCACAUGACUCCAUCCUCCAACAUUAAAUAUAGCAUAUCAAAAUAUUUUCUGUUUACGCAAAUAAAAAAAUACAAAUUUAUCCAUUUCAUAACAAAUAAACGUGUCGUAAUUUAAUAGAACUAGGUGUAUGUAGUAUAAGUUUACUGUAUAAUCCUUUACGCGUUGGCCACGGCGAGUAUCGCAUUACCCGCCGGGGGAAGCAGAGGAAGACCUCCACUCCGUUGGAGGUGGUAAAGGACCUGGCUUCGCUUGGAAUUUCCAAAUGGCGCCAUGCGAAGAUACUGCGACUGGCGCUUUGUUGUUAACUCAGCUAUAAUCGCGUAAGCGGUGUCCACGCCAAUACAGUAGAAGAAGUUCUGUGGCCAAGGUUAUGCGUUCAAUAGAAAAAGUUUUGCUUGUAUUUUCUUGCCAUGUUUGAUAUAAAAAACUUUUAAGUCGAAGUAAAGGUUUUACGGGUCGGCUUGAGUAUACCAUCCCAGGAUUUCGGGAAUAAAAUGGGUAUGGUCGGAUAGAGGAGAUUCUCCAGAUCAUGAAUAUGUUGAAAAUUUGCAAUAUUUUAAUUACAUAUUUUCGAUAUAUAAAAUUAAUUUUGCACUUAUAUUCUUCACUUUUAUAUACACUAACACAUCACUUAUUCAUUUGCACACAUUUAUUUUAUAUAAUAUAGUGCAAAAAUAGCUUUUAAUACACAUUUAAAUUAUUGUUUAAUUUGAUUAUUUAAGAAUAACAAAUGAAUUACAAACUGUCAUAUAAUCAGUGUUAUCUUGCCGACAUCAUUUGUAAAAAUAAAUCUGUCAAAUAAUCAGUGUUACUAUAGUAAAAUAUUUUACAAAAUAAAAUAAAAAAAAUAUAAAGAAAUAUUAUACCCUAAAUACAGGAAACAUAAUCGUUGAUAAACAUUAAAAAAAAAUAUAAAAAAUUUAAGUGGCUGCCAAUGUAAAAAUGAGUUCUACGGGAGAAAAAAAAUGUACGAGUAUAUACCCGGUGUUGGACCGACCAGGGUUAUUUUUUUUUGAAGCGCGGCCGAAGGCCGCCCACGCAUAAAGGAGUUCUACGCAAAGAAGUAGCAAUGUCAUAGAGGGUAUAACAACCACUCUAACAUCAAUGCGAUCUAACGGAUAUAAGUACUGCUACUUUUAAAGCAAAGUACCGUUGCUUUUAUUUGUAAUUUUUUAUAAUAAUUUCGUGUUUGGAAGAUUAAGCUGUAUGGACUUAUAAAAAAAAUGGAAAAUAAUUCAUCAGAUCUGAAAGAAGAAGCGACCAUAAAUGUUCGCAAAUCAAACAAAUUGAGCGUGUCAGAGGUGAAGAGAAUGUGGAAUAUUUCAAAAAUAUUCAACACAUUUCAAACAAAGGAGAGCUGCAUAUUAUUUUGCGAAGAGGAGGGUCUCAUUGCCAGAGGAAGGACUUGCAGGGUGAAUAGACUGCCGAUGGUGCUCUCCAUGACGGGAAAUAGCACCGUCGGUACGCUUAGGUGCCGAAAAGGAUCUUGCCGAAUGCGUUCCGGAAUAUCUCGAUCCACGGGCACCUGGCUGGAAAAUGUUAGAAUACCAUUGCCACAAGUUUUUUACCUAAUGUUUUGCUACGCAUCGCACUGGUCGCAUGACGUAGUAAGGAAAAACAGUAUUGUCAGGGAAUCUAUUUUAUCUAGCGCUACCAUAUGUGACUGGUAUAAUUACUGUCGCGAAGCGGUAGUUUUAUAUCAAGUAGAAAAUCAGGAGGCGGUAGGUAAAAUAGGUGGCCCUGGCAAAAAGGUCCAAAUUGAUGAAAGCAAAUUCGGGAAGAGGAAAUUUAAUAAAGGCAGGAGUGUGGAAGGUCACUGGGUGUUGGGGAUGAUUGCGGAUGAGAACGACGACCUGCGGCUGGAGGUAUGCCCAGAUAAUGUUAGGUCUGCGGAGGUGCUCAUACCCCUGAUUAAGAAGCAUGUUGCGCCAGGAAUUACAAUAAGCACAGAUUGCUGGAAGGCGUACGAUGGUUUGGCGAAUCACGGGUAUGAGCACCGAAAAGUGAAUCACAGCGAUCCGGACAAUCCAUUUGUGGCUGCAGAUGGAACGCAUACGCAGCGUAUAGAGUCCCAGUGGCGUGUGAUUAAAAGGUUUUUUGCGAGGGACAACAAUCCCGAAAACUUCGCCGAUCGAAUUUUUGAGUAUGUUUGGCGGAAAAAUGUGGCCAACAGACACGAAGAUCCUUUCGUCAAAUUAUUAGAGGCAAUAAAAUUUAUAUACAAGCCUUAAUACACGUUUGUUUUAUUAAAUUUACAUAAUUUAUUUAUAUUUUAUGUUUUCCUUUCUCUUAUUUGGGGUAUAAUUUGUUUACUUAAUUUCUUUUAGUUAUUUUACACGUACAAAGGAGUUCUACGCGAAAAAAAUUUGAUACACCCCGGUGUUGGACCGACAGGGUUAUUUUUUUGAAGCGCGGCCGAAGGCCGCCCACGCAAAAAGAAGUUCUACGCGAAAAAAAUUUGAUACACCCCGGUGUUGGACCGACUAGGGUUAUUUUUUCGAAGCGCGGCCGAAAGCCGCCCACGCAAAAAGGAGUUCAACGCGAAAAAAUUGUGAUACACCCUGGUGUUGGACCGACCAGGGUUAUUGUUUUUUAUAGGUUGUUGAUUUUCGUAUUUGGGGUAUAAUCUGUUCCCUUUAUUUCAUUUAGUUAUUUUACAAAUGAUGUUGAUAAGGUAACACUGAUUAUAUGACAGUUUAUAAUUCAUUUAACAUUCUUAAAUAAUCAAAUUCAACAAUAAUUUAAAUGUGUAUUAAAAGCUAUUUUUGCACUAUAUUAUAUAAAAUAAAUGUGUGCAAAUGAAUAAGUGAUGUGUUAGUGUAUAUAAAAGUGAAGAAUAUAAGUGCAAAAUUAAUUUCAUAUAUCGAAAAUAUGUAAUUAAAAUAUUGCAAAUUUUCAACUUAAAACGCGAAUAACUCGAAAACUAUAAGCUUCCUGCAUAUAUAUUCGUGAUCUGGAGAAUCUCCUCUAUCCGACCAUACCCAUUUUAUUCCCGAAAUCCUGGGAUGGUAUACUAAAUUCUUCCCGGUUUUACAAAGAAAAAAAAAAUGGUUAGAAACCCUUUUGUUGGAAUGGUGGCUGUUUGCUAUAGAGGAACGAUUGUGUAAUUUGUUCGUAUUAGAAAAGAUGCUUUGGUUAAAAAUCGUAAUGUAUCUGAAGUGAUCUGUAUUAUUUUCUUUUUACUAUUAUUGGGUAACUAAUUUCCGAGUUAUGUAUAUUAGUAUUUUUGGUGAGGGCAUAUAUUUUCUACGCUUAAGAAUGUUACACAUUAACUAUUGCACUAGCAUGAAGUCCGAACUAGAGUAUUAAAGCGGAUGCUUGCUUACCUAUACACAAAUAUCUUUGCCUACUUACUUAUAUUAAUUGCAGCUUGAAAGCACAUAUAGCAUUAAAACUUAAAGAAGUCAUUAUCAUUACGCCAUGGCAUUUUUCAAAAAUACCUUUAAAAAAUUUCGAAAAACCCCUAUUAUUUGGAAAGUUAAAGACUCAUCAAUCCUUCUAAAUAAUUGUUGCUCACUACGUUGCAACUACGUGUGGGUUGAUUGGUUGGUUGCAAAGGGGAGGCGCGAGUUACGAUUUCUAUUAUUUUAACAGAAAAUGUAUUUUAGUUGAAUAAAGUAUACCCCGAUUUACCGUACUGAGUGGUUUGUCGUCUUGUUCUUUAUUGAUUAUGUUCUUUCAUUCUUAAACUAUAUUUAGCUUACUUUACUUAGAGCCCUUGUGCUGACUCGACAUUUCCCGCUAUCAACGACCCGGUAUAACUUAUGUAAGCAAUUUUAUGCUUAUGUAAUACGAUACCAAGAACGUUUAAAUAUACUACUGUGAUCAGGUAAAUUUUUAAUUUAUAGUUCGUGUGUUUUUCGAAUUUUUUUCUCUGUAAGUUGGAAGUACUUUUAGUGACAUAUAUGCUAAAUUUCAUUUAAAAAUAUUUCUUAGUAUUUGAGAUACGCGUCGUAUGAGGCUAAAAAGCUUCGAAGGGCGAGGGGAUUACUUUGAAGGAGGUAAUUUCGAAAUUAAUUUACAUGAAUCCGAAUGUUGAAUUUAAACAGAAUCCUAAUCCAUUAUGAUGUUAGAGAUGUAAAGCGCAAUGCAAGGUAGGGCCGAAAUUGUAACAAAUAAAAAUUAAGUGCUUGGAAAAUGAGAAGCGACUAAAAUUAUUAAGAUAUCGAAUCGCGUAUGGCACAAAUAGAUAGUGAAGGGAAGUGCCACGGGGGCGCUCCCUAACCCUGCCAACAUUUGGAAGUGUCUUUUAUCGCCAACGCCAAAUACGUCACGCUUUAGUCACUUCCGUACGUUAAAAUAAAGAUAGUUGUCGCGUUCACGUGUCAAACGCCAAAUGCGUCAUUUUUAAGUCACUUCCAGACGUUAAAUUAAAGAUUGUUGUCCCGUUAUGCAAAAGAUAAACAAUGAACGCGAUCACCGACGUUGAAGUCGCAGCGACUGCAAAAUGAAAUUAGAUGAAAACAACAGAAUAGAAAAAGAAGUUGUUGACAUCUGGUUCAUUGGUUUUGUGUCUUCUGCAGUUUGUGGUCAGUGCUAAAGUGCGAUAUUGUUUUUGGAACUAGAAAAAUUAUUUGUUUCGUGGUGUUUUAAUUUGCAAUAUUAUUGAAAAUAUAAUUAAAAUGAGUGAAUUGUCAGAAAAGGCUAUUAAAUUAAUAUGCAAAAUUCGAAGAAACUAAUACAAAAAUAAUAAAAACUUUGACGGAAGAAGUUUUUGCGUUAAAAACCGAAGUCAAGCAGCAAAGAAAUAUGCGUGAGAAGGAUGAUACGUCUCUAAUACCUUCCUUGCCUUUCAUGAAUGUCAAGGACUUUAUUGAUUUUGACACGAAGCUGUUGUUAAACGACAAAAUAACAUCUCAGCUGGUAGGUCGAUUUUCUUAUACUGAAUGCCCAUAAUUAUGAAUAAAUUUGUAUAUUUGGAACAUAUUUAAUUUUAGAAAAAUGUCUUAUAUAGAGUUGAAGGAAAGGAUUUCCCUUCAUUCCUAAGAAUGGCAUUGAAAUCCAUUAUAUCGGAUGCUAUGGCCGUUCAUUUAACUUGGCGUGGAACAAAUGACAAACCCAGUAUCCAACGCUUUACAACAUUUGAACUAAUAAAAAAUGCCUGUCAUUCCAAAUAUUCGAACUCGACCGAUAUGGAUAUAAAUAAAGUGUGUCAACAGCACAUACUUCACGCCCGAGACAGGGUGCAAAAAAAAAAAAAAACAAACAAACAAUUAAUGAACUGAAAAAUUAAAAAAAUCUUAUUUCUAAUAUUCACAUGAAUUAAUUAUUUAUUUUUUUUUUGUAAUACAUUUUUGAAUUGAAAUAAAUAUAAAAAAUUUAAAAACGAAAAUUUUAACUUCCACAAUUCACUAAUACGUAACUUCUACAAGUCACUAAUACGUAACUUCCACAAGGCACUAAUACGUAACUUCUGAAAGUAACGUCCGCGGGGAACAACUUCUCAAUAAGGAAGUGACUUCUACGAUGAAAAAAAUGUAUCGCAGACGUUGAAUUGUAACUUCUUGAAGUCACUUAUACGUGACUUUUGCGAUAGAAAAUGUUGGCAGGGAAUUCUUACAAGUUCGUCAAUUCGUUAUACAGUGUGCGUGUGUAUGUGUGCUAGUGUGAGUUUAAUUAUCAACUCGCUUUUGCAUAGAUUGCGGUGGGCAGUAGUUGAUUAAAGCAUAACCAAAAGUUAUGAAUGGCACACAUAGAUUUUUUAUUAAAGAAUCCGCUGAUUAAAAAAUGUAAGGGAGUAGAAAUAAUAGUUAAUAAAACGGAUCGAAUUGACUGAGGUAACUGAUAAUUGGGUAGUAUCUGAACAGCUAAGUUAAAAAAAAAUAAUGAAAGAAAAUGUAGACAAGCCCUAUGAAAUGAGUUUUAAAUAGAAAAAUACAAAGAAACGGUAAAACCAAAUGUGUGUCCGUAAUUCCUAUGGCAUUUAGAUGGACAGUGAUUAAUCACGUCAUCGAAGCUACUUUCAAUUAGGUAGGAAAAAAAUGUUGGAUGAAGUCUGUGGAUUUUAUUGGUUCCGAGAUAUGUCAAACUAAAUUAAUAAAGCUACCAGUGGAAAAUUGCAGGCUGAAUUACAUCCGAUUCCAAAGGUAGACAUUCCGUGGCACACAGUGCAUAUAAGCAUAACAGGAAAGAUGAUUGGAAGAAAAAAAUGACUUAAAAGAGUACGUAAUUUUAUUGGUAGGUGCAUUCACAAAAUUUGUUUAUAUUCAUCACACCUUAAAUACUAACAUUGAAAGUUCUAUCAAAACCGUUAAGACUGACGAGUUUUUGUUUGAUGUGCCUACUCGAAUUACAGCGGUUCAGCGCCGUAACUUUGCAUUCUCAGGAUUCCGUCAAUUGUGUUCUUCUCAAAAAAUUGAACCUCACUUAAUUGCUAUAAGUGCUAGCAGGAUAAGGUAGAACGUAUAAUGAGCACGCCUAAGAGUAUGUUGACCGCCGUUGAGACCAGUCAGAGGUCGUGGCAGGUCUGCCCAUAAGAAAAUGCUAAUCGGUAGAGAAGCUAGAUCUUUUGGCCUAUUGCCAAUAGGUGAAGAAGAGGAUAAUUUAAUUGAUAGGGAAUCUUUAAGACAACAAGCAAAGUAAAAUUUGGAAGUUAAUGUUCGUUAUGACAAACUUAGGUAUGAUAAGAAUAAGGCAAAAAUAAUAAAAUAUAACAAAGGAGAGGAGUGUUGCUAAAAAACAACAAAGAGCGUUACCAAAUAAAACUUGGCCCAAUAUUUAAAGGUUUGAAAUGAUCGAAUUGCUAUAUGGGGAUAGAUACGUUUUAAAAUCAUUAACAACGAAAAGAACAUACUUGCAUAAGUAUGCGCAUGAAUAAAGAAGUUGCUUUGGAUGACAAGAGAAGAUGCGUCCGAUUUCCAAGUGGUAAAUAAAGAUAAGAAUGGCACAGUACGUGUCUUGAAAUCGAAAUCCUAAGAGGGGAUAUAAUGACCACACUGUAACAAAUGGACUUGUUAUAGCGGGGGUCGGUAGAUAUGGAUGACACGGUAGGUGCUUUAGAAUCCCAAGAAAGGAUAUAAUGAUCGCACUAUAACAGAUCGACUUGUUAUGGCGGAGGUCAAUAAGUGAAAAGGGAAACUUUCAAAAUAGGUUCCUUCUGAGUUGGUGCAGUGCUGCCAGUGCGAUUUCCAAGAAUUCAAGGCGUAACGGACGGCAUUCUCCCGAAUAGCUCCGCUCUGUCGUCUCAAAAUGUCUUUUUGUCUUGGGAUCAUACUCAAAGAUCCAUGACUCGUCACCUAUGAUAACGUUAUUCAAGAUUUGGGGGUCACUUUCACACAUGUUAAAAUUUUCGUGUCACAUUUCCACUCACUGCAAUUUCUGGUCGUCAGUGAGCACUUUUAGGAUUUUUUGAAAUUUUUUAUGCAUGACCAUCGUUAAAUAGGUAAAUUUAUUCGUUUUGAAUAAUAAUCGUUAUUACAAAUGUUAUAACAGAGUUAUUUUAUGAUUCUCUUUGUAAAAUAACGUCAGGUUUGUUAGAGCUUUGAAUAAUUUUACACAUUACAUAUUAGUAGCAUCCUCUCCUCUGCUCACUACUGUCGUCGGCAAAAUUUGUAAAAUAAUUUUAAAUUAGCGAGAGCGACAACUGAGAGCCUGCAGUCGUGUAGUCGUCUAAAUAACUCUGUCCGUAGAAACGUGUGUUGUUUUAUAAGUGAGAGAGGUCGCUUGCAGUCUGUCGCGCUCUAUGUGUUCAGCACAUAACUCUUUGCCAAAACGUGAGCUUAAGCCAUUGGUUGUCCGCGACAACGGAGUUUUCGCAUGAAACAACAAGUGUAUGUCGGAGCGGUAGUACUUGUAUUUUGUAUGUUAGUGUACAUGCGUACUUCGGAGUGAUAAUAUUUUGUAGGUAACUGUAGGUGCCAAAACGUCGUUUGAAGUAGGCGACGCAUUAGCGGUAUAUAUUACGGUACUAUAGAUUGUUAAUGCGUAAAUGAGCAUAAAAGCAGGAUUAUGGAAACUUUUACGGAGUGAGGUCUGAUCGUAUUCUGCGAGCAUAGUGAAGAGAGGCAGGAACCGUUAGCUACUUUUACAGCAAUGAAGGGGUGCGUAUAUAAUUAGGCGCUAUGUCCUCGCAGAAUCAGUUCAAGAAGUGAUCUUGAUAGGAGCAGAACUUGCUGUGCUCGUGUAGUGAAAAUGAAAAGUGAAGUUAUUGUGCUGUAGUAAAGUGUAAAAUGAUACAACAAUAUCCCCAAGCAAAUCUCUACAAAAUCAACCUUCGAACGAAAUCCUCUACAUCAGAACUGGGUUAACUAAUAUUACAAGCUGAGAUUCGUGCCAGAUCCUCGCAGCGCUAGAAGCACAGCACCGGAGUGUCACCAUUGCGGAAAGAUUAGCCAUAAAAUUGCCGAAUGCCGUGGUCAUUUGGAAAGGGUAAAGAACGCUAAAGGAAAUAUUCAGUAUUCGAUGUUUCAAGUGCAACGAAAUGGGACACUGCUCCACUUCAUGUCUUGAAAUCCGGACCAGCGAGAGAGAGAGAAGAGAUAUAAGAUGCAGAUAUUUGCACUUUAGUUUCGCCAAAGGUGGCUGUAAAAUUAUCAGGUGAGUCCAUUCCAUUUUGAUUUAUCUCUGGAGCUGAAUAUUCAUACAUGAAGGAAAGUGAUGGUUAGUGUUUGUCAAUAUACAGUAUCCGACAAAACUAUGUAUACCCCAUGAAAGUUGAAAAGAAAAUUAUCAUAUCUUUUGAAAAGUGAAGUUUAUUUUUUUGCAUGGUUUUUGUUUUUGCUUAUGAGUAU